CUACUAUGCAUCAGAUAUUCUUCUGGCUCCUGAGGAUAUACUGGGGUUUUGAGACAAACAAGAUCCACAGUUGGGGCUAAUGGGAGCUUCCACGUCUGUGGCACCUGAAUUAGGCAAUCCGUUUUCUUUUAAUUACAUCUAAAUGUAUUACAAACUAAAAAAUGUAACAAAAAGGAAUGAGGGGUAAAAGAUGCACAGAGAGAAGCGUCCUCCUGUUUGCAAGACCCCACCCUGCAUGUGGGAGAGAGCUGCAGCUGCCACCAAGUGACAUCACUCACCUGUGAAGGAUGGCAGAGUGGAUAGAAGAGAGCUGCUAGUAGCUGACAAUAUCAUCAAGCCUCAGAUUUAUCCAAUUUUGCAACCCUAUCUGUCCCCAAGCUUUUCUUUAUGUAAGAUAAUAAACCCUUAUUGUUAAUGUU
rnacentral:lncRNA from 10 species